CUCUUUCUGGUCCAGACUAUACAACCUCCCCGCCCCCACCUCCUCCCCCGCCCGUCUAAUCGCGGACUUCCUGGGAAAAAUCAGGCAGUGUUCAUCCUGAAGUGAGUAUUUAAAUUACAGGAUUUAAGGAGCUCCGGAUGGGAAAGUAACCCCCGAAUGCCUCUAACUAAACUCCCGUCUUGGAUCUUAACCCCCUCGGCUUCACAUCUGCUUCAAAGGAGAAAGGCGUUGGGACUCAGAAACGGAAGGCAGAUUAUAUUUCUGGGCUUCACAGUUUUCUUCUUACUUGAAGCCAUUCACUGGCUAGGCCAACAUUUAUCGCCCAUCCCUGAUUAACCAGAGGGCAGUUCAAAGUCAACCACAUUGCUGUGGGUCUGGAGUCACAUGUAGGCCAGACCAGACUGCCACAGAGGAUGGUUCAAAAAGAUCCCAGCAUUAAGGAAAUCACCACAGGAAGUGACUACAAAUUAAGUUUGAUAUGGACUCAGAAAGAGCAGGGCAGCUGCUGCUGUCCACAACUGCCCCCCCGCCAUUUCCUGCUUCCUCACAUUUUCUCCAUGGCUUGAAAUGCACAACAGACACCAAGGUCUCAACUAGUUUUUGAAAUGAGGCCUGAGGAUGAAUCUCAGUUGAGGACAUUGAAGAGAGAGUGGAAAAGGAAGAAAAAGCAGCCUACUGAUAAGUACUUCAUCUAUUACCUUCACCAUCAUGGCAGCAGUGCGUAGCAAGAAGAAGAUACAUUGCUGGAAUUCACGCAGGUUCCUUCAGUGGCACCUACUAUGUCUGUGACCUCCACCACUUAGGGCAGCAAGCAAAUUGAAUCACAACCACCUGCAAGUUUGCUUAAGGUCACACAAUGUUCGAUUUGGGGGGAUUGUAUUGCCAUUUCUUCACUGUUACUUAGUCAAAAUCCUGGCACUCACCAAAAGCAGUGUAGAUGGCACAUUACCUGGACUGCAACAGUUCACAACAGAUGGCUCAUCACCACAUUGUCAUGAGCAUUUAGGCAGUUGACAAGUCCACCAAGUUAUGAUUGUAUGACCCCUGUAUCCAAUGAACAGUGUGAUUUGUGAUAAUCACACACAGCAAUCUUUCAAAUAAAAUCACAAAGCUUUUACUCUCUCUGCAUUAUAUUGAAUGGACAUGGGUUAAUCAUGCACUGUGAUCUGUGGACCUGUUUCAGUCUAUUUAAUUCAACACUUUCAUUGGUUAGAGCUUGUCCUUUCAUCAAGCACCUCACCAAAGAUUUAUUCCAUGAAUAUUAACCUAGUAGGGGGAGGAACAAGUAAUAACUCUUCAUCAAUUUAAAAAAAACAAUGACACCAAGUUUUAAUAAAUUUCAUAAGGCAAAUGACAUUUUAGUGUUUCACCAGCACAGUUGCAAUUGGUCAGUGGGAUGAGGAACUGUCCAAUCAUCACACAUUUGGGUAUCCUAACCUAAGUAUUGUACAUAUUAGAAUCUGAAAUAAAAAAAACAAAAUACUAGAAUAUUGCAGACCAGAAAG